rnacentral:tRNA from 1 species
GGGCCCGUAGCGCAGUACGGAUAGCGUGGCAGAGAAGCGCGCCAAUCCUUCUAAGCUGUAGGUCGUGGGUUCAAAUCCCACCGGGCCCG